CCACCUCCUCCUUCAGGUCAACCACAAGCCUGAGUAAGUCAUUUAGCUGGUUGCAUCUUAACAAGUGCUGUCUCCCUCACCUAGCACUGCAAAGGCCUGGCUCUGGUAUUCAUUACAGCCAGAGACCUGCACACUAGCAUCUUCCUUCGGGACCUCAGUCCGGGUCUCCACGUUCUUCUUGGCCGCAACUUUCCUUUUGUGUGAACAUGGGACCUCUGGGUCUCCACGUUUUUCCUGGCAGUAGCCUUCCGCCAGGAUGCAGCCAUGGCAAACCAGCAGACUCACCAGCACUAUUCGGGUAGCCUUAAUGGGGUGUGACCGAUCAGCCCUGCCCUGCUGCCGGUAGUGCUGCCACCGCCCUCCCCCGUUACCAGCCCAUUAACGGGUGCCCCCGCACUUAUCGCUCUCUUCCCAGCGAUAACAAUCCUCCUCACUGCGCAGACCCGGGAAUGGGCGGCUUACGGUUUCUGCACGUUUGAACAGCCCACGUGAUUCACACACCCUGACUCCUCCGCUCCUCCUGCUGGGGGAGGAGGAGCGCCGUUGCCCUCCCGAAGGCAUUGUCUAGGCAGGGGGCUGUGGAUGCGGAACCGUUCCCCAGGCAACGCCCACGGCACGUCAGCCGCUCUCGAGAGAGCUGCUGGGCUGCUCCGUUAUCUCGGGGGCUCCCUGGAUGAGGGAACCGACAGCCCCGAAGCAGCGAACCUCAGCGAUCAAUUUUGUUUCCUAUUUCAAAUUGCAAGCGGCAAUAUCAUUUUCAUCACAUAGGAUUUCAGCACUGUUAAACCCUGAGGUACUGGGACAUAUACAUACAGCCCAAGCUUGCUUUUUCCAGUCCAGUAUUUUCCUCUUCUGGACUGUAUGUCAGCCAACCAGUGUCAUCCAGGCCCCAGUCUUGGCUAGACAUCGAAACAGACAGGAAGCAACAUAGCCUGAAUCUAAUGAAAAAAAGAUGGGGAAACUGCCAUGAGUAUCCUGAUGACAUCCCAGACUGAUCUUUUUGGCCUCUUCUGGAGAGA